rnacentral:rRNA from 1 species
CGCCCGCCGCGCGCGGCGGGCUACGGGAGGCAGCAGUGGGGAAUAUUGCACAAUGGGCGCAAGCCUGAUGCAGCCAUGCCGCGUGUAUGAAGAAGGCCUUCGGGUUGUAAAGUACUUUCAGCGGGGAGGAAGGUGUUGAGGUUAAUAACCUCAGCAAUUGACGUUACCCGCAGAAGAAGCACCGGCUAACUCCGCGCCAGCAGCCGCGGUAAUA